rnacentral:rRNA from 1 species
UUAGUAAUGGGCGAAAGCCUGAACUAGCAACACCGCGUGUGCGAAGAAGGCCUUCGGGUUGUAAAGCACUUUUCGGGAGGAUGAGGAAGGACGGUACUCCCGGAAUAAGUCUCGGCUAACUACGUGCCUGCAGCCGCGGUAAAACGUAGGAGGCAAACGUUAUCCGGAUUUACUGGGCGUAAAGCGCGUGUAGGUGGUUUGGUAAGUAGGGCGUGAAAGCUCCUGGCUCAACUGGGAGAGGUCGUUCUAAACUGCCGAGCUAGAGGAUGAUAGAGGGAGGUGGAAUUCCGGGUGUAGCGGUGGAAUGCGCAGAUAUCCGGAGGAACACCAGUGGCGAAAGCGGCCUCCUGGACCACUCCUGACACUCAGACGCGAAAGCUAGGGUAGCAAAC